UGAACGCUGGCGGCGUGCUUAACACAUGCAAGUCGAACGAGAACGGUACUAGCUUGCUAGUAUGUCAGCUAAGUGGCGGACGGGUGAGUAAUGUAUAGUUAAUCUGCCCUUUAGAGGGGGAUAACAGUUGAAAACGACUGCUAAUACCCCAUACUCCUUUUAUCUUAAUGAUAAUUGGGAAACGUUUUUUCGCUAAAGGAUGAGACUAUAUGGUAUCAGGUAGUUGGUGGGGUAAGAGCCUACCAAGCCAAUGACGCCUAGCUGGUCUGAGAGGAUGAUCAGCCACACUGGAACUGAGACACGGUCCAGACUCCUACGGGAGGCAGCAGUGGGGAAUAUUGCACAAUGGAGGAAACUCUGAUGCAGCAACGCCGCGUGGAGGAUGACGCAUUUCGGUGUGUAAACUCCUUUUAUAUGGGAAGAUAAUGACGGUACCAUAUGAAUAAGCACCGGCUAACUCC
rnacentral:rRNA from 1 species